rnacentral:rRNA from 1 species
AACGCACCUUGCGCUCCUUGGUAUUCCGAGGAGCAUGCCUGUUUGAGUGUCAUUAAAUUCUCAACCUUUAUUAGCUUUCGCAAGCUUGGUAAAGGAUUGGAUGUGAGGGCUUAUGCUGGCUUCGAAAGAUGUCUGCUCCCUUCAAAUAUAUUAGCUGGUGCCCGUGCGGAACCGUCUAUUGGUGUGAUAAUUAUCUACGCUAUUAGACAUCUGCAUUAAAUGGGUUAUACUGCUUCUAACUGUCUAUUUAAUUAGACAAUACAUGACUAUUUGACCUCAAAUCAGGUAGGACUACCCGCUGAACUUAA